GGGGGAUUCCCCUUCAUUUGCGACUUGGAGCAACCAGCUGGUUGAAGGAGGAAGCAGCAGAAGGUGUAGAUCCCUCUGCUCUUGGGAACUCGCAACUCAUGGAGGAAGGUCCUGGCAUUUUCCUGAGUGCUGGAGGCUUCCCAGAAGCUGCCCCCAAUGCCUUCUGCACUGCCUGGAGCCAGUGCUUCCAGCUGUCAGCUCUGGAGCUGAUGUAGCAGCCCGACAUUUGAGCAGCUGCAGCACCAGGAAAGUUGACUUGCAGAGGGAAAGGACACCCAGGCUUCUGGCAGAACAGCCAGGUGGCCUCACAGGAGGUGGGCAUAAGUUUUUAGCUCUGCAGCUUAGGAGUAGAGUUUUGCCAGGGCAAC
rnacentral:lncRNA from 1 species